CACGUUUGGUCAAAGUCAACCCCUUCCCUCUGUAUAUCCUGGGUAUAAAUACACAUCAAUCAGUUAUUUCGUACACACAGAAACAGAUGGCGCUAGGGUAUGUACGAAUGUGGCGGUGUGCGGCGGUGUUCACAUUAAUAUUAUUGGCUGCUUUCUUCGCUGGCGCAAACGCCCACUUCACCUCAGGUGAAGACGAGACAAAGAUAGUGACUCGAAGGCUUCUAGGGGUGCAUGUUAACGACUAUGGUGAACCAUCAGCAAAUCAAGGGCAUGAUCCUAGAGGAAAGGGUCGUAAGCCUCCAAAGAAGCGACACAGCUAAUUAUGUCGACAUGAAGGAUGACAUGGCUACCAACCUAUCUACUUAAUUGCUAACUGAGGGAAUAACAAUAUAUCAUGUGUUAAUUUUAAUUUGAUAGUAGUGAUGUAACAACGGUAUCUAAUAUUUAUGUUUGUGUUUGGUCGUUGCAUUAUUUGACUGAAAGUUCUAUAAUUUGUUUAAUAAAAUUUAAAAAAAUAUCUACUUGGUUAGACCA